UCAUCUGUGUAAUAUCUCUAAAAUAAGAAAUAUACUAUCUGUUAAUGAUUCAGACACAGUCUCAAUGUUUAAGUCUAGACUGAAAACAUAUUUAUUUUCUCAGGCUUUUGAUUAGUAUAGACAAAGGCGCAGAGCUUGGGGGUUCAUGGUCAUAGAAACUUGUGGUGAUCAGGGAUGUUGGGUUGCUGUCGUUCUGCCUCUCUUAUCCGAUCACUCAGGUUUGAUGACGGUGGGGAGAUGGGCGCUGAUGUCCUGUGAAAGCCUUCAUGACCUUGUUACCUGCUCGCUCUCCCUUUUAGUUAUGCUGUAAUAAUUAGGGCUGCCGGAGUCUAAAACUCUCUGUAAAACUGUUUUACUCAACUAGCAUUGUACAUUAUUAACUACAUUCUCUGUUGUUUUACUCCAAAGGCAUUCUGAUGGAAACCUGUUUACCCGCCGAGGUUAAGGAUAAAAGUCGAGACUGCCGUGACAACACUGCUGCUCCUGCAGGAAAUGACGAGCUUGGAGUGUUUGCACCAAGAAUGACAAGAAAUCACUACAGACUUUAUUGCAGAUGGAAUAUCCUCCAGACCACCCAAGAAGGAUGGGCCCUGCUGAGUCUGGUUCCUCUCAAGGUUUCUUCCUGUAAUUUUCAGGGAGUUUUUCCUUGCCACAGUUGCCCUCGGCUUGCUCAACAGGGAUUUUUGUAUCUGUUGGUCCUGGAUUUUGUAAAGUUGCAUUUGAGACAAUGUCUGUUGUAAAAAGCGCUAUAUAAAUAAAGUUGACUUGACUUGA